rfam:Neotoma lepida isolate 417 scaffold_815, whole genome shotgun sequence.
CACCGUUUCAGUGGCAUUUAAAUCCCUGGCGCUCCUCAGUCUAGGUGACGCGCGGUCGCCCCCCCAGGCAACCCGGGCCGCGGCGGUUGCUGCGGCCGCUGCUAGAGCUGACUUGGAGCAUUGGG